GAAUUGUCUGGCGAGCUCUUCUGGAUUUUACUCUAGGCUCACUAGGUAAUGCUAAGCGGUAAUAAACAAACAUUAUGAGGGUUACAAGAAAAAUUGCCGCAUAAAAUAAACGAGAAAAUAAGGUUACAAAGCUAGAGUUCCGAACAACCUCAACUGGUGUUAUGACUGCCAUUGAAAACGCGUAGGAACAAAUCAACAUAUAAACAGGUAAAAUACUAAAUGAGAGUCCGCUUUUGUCUUGUGCAAGUUUCAAAAUUAUUCGAAAAGCUGUUAUGAUAAACAAGCCAGUGAAAAGGUAGUAAAAUAUAAGAAAGUAGGUCUGAGACAUUACUGAUGUACCCGUGA
rnacentral:misc_RNA from 1 species